GGGCCGUUAGCUCAGCGGUAGAGCAGGAGCCUUUUAAGCUCUUGGUCGCAGGUUCGAAUCCUGCACGGCUCA
rfam:Candidatus Levybacteria bacterium RIFCSPLOWO2_01_FTLL_36_13 rifcsplowo2_01_scaffold_14, whole genome shotgun sequence.